rnacentral:rRNA from 1 species
CCCUUAGAUGUUCUGGGCCGCACGCGCGCUACACUGAUGCAUUCAACGAGCACUCGCUUGGCCGAGAGGUCAGGCUAAUCUUUGAACGUGCAUCGUGCUGGGGAUAGAUGAUUGCAAUUAUUCAUCUUCAACGAGGAAUUCCUAGUAAACGCAAGUCAUCAGCUUGCAUUGAUUACGUCCCUGCCCUUUGUACACACCGCCCGUCGCUACUACCGAUUGAAUGAUUUAGUGAGGACUUCGGACUGGGACCGAUGCGGCUUUCGGGCUGCGUCGGUAUUCUGGAAAGAUGUCCAAACUGUAUCAUUUAGAGGAAGUAAAAGUCGUAACA